GACGAACCGUCCUAACGUUAUUCGGAAUCACUGGGCUUAAAGGGCGCGUAGGCGGUUCGUUAAGUCCUGUGUGAAAUCCCCCGGCUCAACUGGGGAACUGCACAGGAAACUAGCGGGCUUGAGUUCGGGAGAGGGAAGCGGAAUUCCGGGUGUAGCGGUGAAAUGCGUAGAUAUCCGGAGGAACACCGGUGGCGAAGGCGGCUUCCUGGACCGACACUGACGCUGAGGCGCGAAAGCUAGGGGAGCAAACGGG
rnacentral:rRNA from 1 species